AGCCAUUAGAUGAUACUAUAUGGUUUUACCUGCCCAAUGUUACGAUGAAUGGCCGCGGUACCCUGACCGUGCUAAGGUAGCGUAAUCAGUUGACCUUUAAAUGAGGUCAGGAAUGAAUGGAAUAACCGGGUUUAGCUGUCUCCAAAUCAUUAUAUUGAAUUUACUAUCUAAGUGAAAAAGCUUAGGACUUAAAAAAGGAGGAGAAGACCCUUAGAAUUUUUUUAAAAAGGAUUUUAAUUUCCUUACAGUUUUAUUGGGGCGAUAAAGAAAUAAUUAAAACUUUCUUUUUUAACAAGCCGAUUGUAUUAAGUAAGAAUAAAUUACCUGAGGGAUAACAGCAUAAUUCUACAAUUGAGUUUGUGACCUCGAUGUUGGACUAGGAAACCAGUAGGCUAGCCGUUUACUGUGUUAGGUU
rnacentral:rRNA from 1 species